rnacentral:lncRNA from 1 species
CCCCUGUGGGCCCCCACCCGACGGGAGCUCACACAUAGGUGGUUGCCUCCACGUCUUAAUGCCCUCCCCCUGCGCGUCCCCAGGGCUGGCACACCCUGCAAUUACAGCUGCCGUUCCCCGCCUUCCCAUUGUGCCUGCCUCACCUCCCCACUCUCCCCGGCUAAUUACCAGGUUUGCCCUUCACAGUUUCUGCGGUAAUGCUAAGGCCCGCGCCCCUCAGCUGCCAGCGCUGCGUGUUUUAGUAGCUGCAGGGAGGAAGAAUCGAGAUGGCUUCAGCAAAGCCCUCCACUUUGCUUGGGAGAAGGGGGCGUUUGUGGGCAGGGCAUUGCAUGGGAAACUGCAAUGUGCACUUGUUUGACCUGGAUCCCUGGUUCAAAUGCAUCCCCUGGUCCCUGCAGGUCCGGGGUGGGGCUGGAGCUUUUGUGUGUCUCAUCAGCUCCCAGAAACAUUUAUCGAGUGCCUAUGGCAUGUCAGGCACAGUUCAAGUUCUGAGGAUACAGAGUAAACAACAGGCAACAUCACGCCUCCUCGAGCUUCUGUUCUACUGGGAGUCAGGGUAGGAAGAGACGACAACAAGGCCCUCUUCACCUGCCAGCUGGGCAACAGCAGUUACUCUCAUUGGAGACCCUUUCCCUUCGCCACUUCCCAGGCUACUCCAGACUGAAUGCAUUCAGGGAGUCACCUCCCAGGUCAAAACCUGCUGUGAUACCAUCACCCUGCAGCACAGACCACAGUCCCAAGCCUCCCAUUCUUGACUCUAACACCAGCCCAGCCUGACCUGCUGCAGGGUGUGGCCUGUGACCACAUCUGUGCUCCGUCCACGCUGCUUCGUCCAGCCUCCCACGCCGAUCCCCAGAGUAGCUCCCCGGGAUGCUCUCUCCUCAUCACUGCAUCUGCCGCCCGCCCAGGCCCUCUGACUUUACCCUCCCGCAGGCCCCUCCCGUCUGAGGUGCUCUGGAAUGCCUGUGGUGUGAUUGUGCAUGAACUUUUACGUGCCUGCGUCCAUGCUCGAGAGCGGUCUUGCCUGAACCACCUUGUCUCAAUAAUCAGCAUGAAACUCCUCAAAAGAAACAGAGAGGCCCCUCAGAACAUCACGGAAAAGACGAUGGCUCCAAAACAGCUAGAUUCUAAUCCCAGCUCUGCUGCGGGGCGCGGCCUCGGGCACACCUGUGCUCCGUGCAUGUGACGUGACUCUCAAAAGCAUCCAUUUCCUCAUCUGGAAAACGGGACAGUUCCUGGACUCUGCGCACCUGGAAGUGACCAUGAGGGUCAAAUGUUUCUCAAACUGCAAAUGCUUUUCAGAUGCUGGCGCCGUGACCAAAGACCUGGCUCUUACAUCUGCUCUGUUUUCAUGGGACACAGCCCUGGGUAUACAGUAGGUGCUUAAUGCAGGUGACCGUGAGGAAGGGCUGUGGCCCGUGGAGGGCAGGCAGGUGGGAUUCAGCUGAGGUCCUCAAAGGCUGCACUAUGGGAAAGGCUGAGCGGCAGGAAAGGGACAGACAGGCCCUCCUCCUGGGGCCCAGGGCUGGGAACCAGAGCCCCUCCUUUGGCCACUCUGAGGUGGAAGAACAAGGAGCACAUAGGAGGAGUGGCCCAGGCUCUCCACCUGAGGACAUUCGGAGGACCUAGAAGCACUGGCAGAGCCUGAACGUGGCACCGUAGCCUCCUGCUGGCUGGAGAUGUGUCUGGGCGGUGUGUCUUGGCAUGGAAUCCACAGCCAGCUAGCCUGAGGCGGGGAUGGGGCCAGGACCCCCGGCUGUACAGACGGAGAGCCAGAGGCGGUUGCAGGUUCCCAACCGACAGCGGAGCUGAUGAGUGGCGGGGCUUUCAUUUGUUGACAGGAGAUGCAUGUCUGAGGCCAGAGCCAACUUCUUCCAGGGAGCGGCUUCCUUCCUCCUCAAAGGACACAGGGGACACAGAUGUCCAGGAGGCUGUUUAGAGAGGGCCCGAGUGGUGAGCUGUGCAGGGGUCCUCACGCCCCGGCCCCGUCUUGGAUAUGGGGCUGGAGACUUAGGAAGUGAGUGCUGGGUCCUGGGGUUCCCUCAUCCGCCUUCAGGAAGAUGUGAAGGGGCUUCCUGCGGCCUUUGGCAGCAUUCAUCCCAAACCCCAAAGCCUCCUUCCCCUGGCUCCGUGGCAGGAGCAGUUGCAUUCUCCUGUCUGAGAGGGGCCACCUCCUUCCCACCUUGCCCUCUAAGUUGGCUCAGGCUGCGCAGGGCUCAGGCUGAGGUCCAGACCCUCAUGCCAGCUUGGUGCUUGGCCAGAGCUGCAAAAUUGGAGCUGGGCUGCCAGGGGGAGGGCACCGCUGAGGCCUUCUAGGCCCAGACGGGCUGAGAGAGCCCCCGCCCCCCACCCCAGCCUCACCCUCCACCCGAGGCCCCUGUCAUGGGUGUGGGUGACUCAGAGGAAGUUCUGGUUUCUGUCAGAUUUUGAGGCUGAGGCAACCUGAUCCUGAAACAAUGACAAGCCUCAGAACGGUCCUUCCCACUCCCUCAGAGGAGCGUUUCAGGCCUGGCCAAUAACACAGCAGAACGGAAAAUGACUUUGGGAAGGAAAGGUCAGGCGGCUAGGCCUCCCAUGGAAGGCAGCAGGCGGUUGCUCAGGUCAGAGGGCCAAGUGGCGCGGUCUGUGGGCACCGGCAGCUGGCAGUGACCCUGCAGAUCAACCUGGGCCCGGGCUGCAGACACCAAGCAGGGGCACCUGCCUGGCCUGGCUGCCUCAUGUGGCCCCCACAGCCUUUGUCAGGACACCUCAGGACAGUGGCCUGGCCUCUAGGCCAGUGGGCCAGCUCGGGGUGCUAAAGCCUAAUUUGCCUGGAGCCCCGGGCCACUCAUAGAUUCAGGAGGAAGAGGUGGGGUAGAGGUGGCAGAGGGAGAGCAGAGCCUGGCACACAGCAUUUGGCACCAUAACUGAGGCAGCUGCUUUCCUUAAGGAGCUGCCACUGACAGGAUCAGCACUUACAGAGCCCCUGCUGUAUGCCAGGAAGUACAUUUAUUAUUGCUUCUUGUCACAUUGGCCCUGCCAGGUAUGUACCCCAAACAUUAGCCUCAUUUCACAGAUAAGAAAAUUGAGGCUUCCGUGAUUAAGCAGAGGCUGUGAUGUCCCAUCCAGAGCCCCAGCCACCCAGCUCUCCUGCAGGACAGGAGAUACCUACUAGCCUGCUUCUCGAUUAUUCUUUUCUUCCCUGCCACCUUGGGAAUAUCCCUCCCACUUGCAAGCACAGGUCGGCUAUGCCAGGGGAGUCUGUGCCCCAGGGCCCCUUCAUCCAUGGGGAUGGGAGUCUGUAGAAAUGCUCACCUCCGCCCUCUCCAGUGGGGACAUUGGAGGCCUGUGUCCCACAGUCUCCCUGAGGGCCCAGUGGGUUGAGCCCAUUGCCCGCAGUGGAAACCCCUCAUUCAUGGACCUGUCUCCCUCCCCUGCCUCCCCCUCCACCUCCACCCCUGCCCUGCCCUUCCUCGGAUCACUUCAUGCACCCAAGUCCUCAUUGCAGUCUGCUUGAGGGGGAUCCCACAUGUAGCCAUGCCCCUUCCAGGCAGAGAGAAGCAGCACAGGCCCCUGGCUGAGUGUGCCACGGCGGGUGCAGCAGGAGUGCAAACGCAGAGUUCAACUCGGCAUCCAGCUGGAACCCAUGUUAACUUGCGUUUGACCAGCGUAAGAGAGACAAGAAGAUGAGUAGAACUGUAGCAGUCAAAAUGCUUCAGCUGCAGGUAAUAGGAAGUCCAGCUCAAACCGGUUUAAGCGGAGGCCAGGGGCUGCAGGGUGGGCAUCUCCCAUGGCACCUGCUCUGGUCCCUCAGUCCCCCUGAGUGGUGCACACUUCCCUCCACAAGGUGUGUUGCCGGGUGGCCACGGCUGUCCUGGGCUCGCAUUUGCUCAUGACAGUGUCUGGAGAGCUCCGCCUUUGAGGGCUCUUCCUGGGGCCUCUAACGAGAGAGGACUGGGGGGACCACGACAAAAAAUAUCUGGGUUCUUGAGACAGCAGAAAAGGUGGUGGAAGCUGGGUGAGUAGCCAGACAGUAUCUACUAGAAUUUUUUUUUCUCCAAUUUAAGUUUCUCCCUGGUGAGUUCUUAACCCGCCGCUGACUGGCCAAUGCUAGCAGACGGACACAGGGAACAAACAAGUGGCAUAUUAAUCUUCAUGGAAAAGCCUAGAAACGGGCAGUCCUUUCACAGCAGUUCUGUGUCUACAGUGAACACAUGGGCUGUGUUUAACUGUGUAAACACAAUAAAGUUGUGUUAUGGAAGUGAACUUGUUCCUGACUGGCAGAUGGAUUUAAAUGUAAGAGUGGUCCAUGGGCCCCUCCACGGAGCUGAUGCUGCCCCAGCAUCCUUCCUAUGGCCCUUCAGCCUCUGGCUAUUGGUCUUCCUGUAUCCAUGCACGGCUGAGCUGGAGGCCAACACAGGAGCAGCCAUUCCAGGCAGGUCUGGGCAGGGGUCCCUGGCGUGUAGCUCUGGAGGGAGUGGGGCUGUGUAAGCUCAGCGUCUUGUCUCCCUCACUGAAAAUACAGGACACAAUGGAACAGAAUAGAGAGCCCAGAAAUAAGGCUGAACACCUACAACCAUCUGAUCUUCAACAAAGCUGACAAAAACAAGCAAUGGGGAAAGGACUUCCUUUCAAUAAAUGGUGCUGGGAUAGCUGGCUAGCCAUAUGCAGAAAAUUGAAACUGGACCCCUACCUUACACCAUAUACAAAAAUCAACUCUAGAUGAAGUAAAGACUUAAAGGGAAAAUCUAAAACUAUAAACACCCUGGAAGACACCUUAGUAAAUACCAUUCUGGACAUAGAACUUGGAAAUAUUUCAUGAUAAAGAUGCCAAAGCAAUUGCAACAAAAACAAAAAUUGACAAAUGGAAUCUAAUAAAACUAAAGCACUUCUGCACAGCAAAUCAACAGAAUAAACAGACAACCUAAGAGUAGGAGAAGAUAUUUGCAAACUAUGCAUCUGACAAAGAUCUAAUAUCCAGCAUCUAUAAGGAACUUAAACAAAUGUACAAGCAAAAAACAACCCCAUUCAGAAGUGGGCAAAAGACAUAAACAGACACUUCUCAAAAGAAGACAUACAUGCGGCCAAAAAGCAUAUGAAAAAAUGCUGAAUAU